GAUGAAGAGCGCAGCGAAAUGCGAUAAGUAAUGUGAAUUGCAGAAUUCAGUGAAUCAUCGAAUCUUUGAACGCACAUUGCGCCCCUUGGUAUUCCGAGGGGCAUGCCUGUUCGAGCGUCAUUAUAACCCCUCAAGCUCAGCUUGGUGUUGGGGCCUGCUGCACUGGCAGCCCUUAAAAUCAGUGGCGGCGCCAUCUGGCUCUAAGCGUAGUAAUUCUUCUCGCUAUGGAGUCCUGGUGGAUGCUUGCCAUCAACCCCCAAUUUUUCUAUGGUUGACCUCGGAUCAGGUAGGGAUACCCGCUGAACUUAAGCAUAUCAAUAAGCGGAGGA
rnacentral:misc_RNA from 1 species